rnacentral:rRNA from 1 species
GAUGAACGCUAACUACAGGCUUAACACAUGCAAGUCGAGGGGAAACGGCAUUGAGUGCUUGCACUCUUUGGACGUCGACCGGCGCACGGGUGAGUAACGCGUAUCCAACCUUCCCAUUACUGUGGGAUAACCUGCCGAAAGGCAGACUAAUACCGCAUAGUCUUCGAUGACGGCAUCAGAUUUGAAGUAAAGAUUUAUCGGUAAUGGAUGGGGAUGCGUCUGAUUAGCUUGUUGGCGGGGUAACGGCCCACCAAGGCUACGAUCAGUAGGGGUUCUGAGAGGAAGGUCCCCCACAUUGGAACUGAGACACGGUCCAAACUCCUACGGGAGGCAGCAGUGAGGAAUAUUGGUCAAUGGACGGAAGUCUGAACCAGCCAAGUAGCGUGCAGGAUGACGGCCCUAUGGGUUGUAAACUGCUUUUGUAUGGGGAUAAAGUUAGGGACGUGUCCCUAUUUGCAGGUACCAUACGAAUAAGGACCGGCUAAUUCCGUGCCAGCAGCCGCGGUAAUACGGAAGGUCCAGGCGUUAUCCGGAUUUAUUGGGUUUAAAGGGAGCGUAGGCUGGAGAUUAAGUGUGUUGUGAAAUGUAGACGCUCAACGUCUGACUUGCAGCGCAUACUGGUUUCCUUGAGUACGCACAACGUUGGCGGAAUUCGUCGUGUAGCGGUGAAAUGCUUAGAUAUGACGAAGAACUCCGAUUGCGAAGGCAGCUGACGGGAGCGCAACUGACGCUUAAGCUCGAAGGUGCGGGUAUCAAACAGG